rnacentral:rRNA from 1 species
CGCCUGUUUAUCAAAAACAUCGCCUCUUGUAAAAUAAAAAUAAGAGGUCCUGCCUGCCCAGUGUGAAACCUUUCUCAACGGCCGCGGUAUUUUGACCGUGCUAAGGUAGCGUAAUCACUUGUCUCUUAAAUGAAGACCUGUAUGAAUGGCUCGACGAAGGCUGAACUGUCUCCUUUUUCAAGUCAAUGAAAUUGAUCUCCCCGUGCAAAAGCGGGGAUGCGCCCAUAAGACGAGAAGACCCUAUGGAGCUUUAGAUGUUAAAACAAGCAUUAUGUGCUACCCCCAAAUAAAGGGGUACCACUAGCCCCUGUCCAGACAUCUUCGGUUGGGGUGACCAUGGGGAACAAGAAACCCCCACGUCUCUGUAUUGGAGUCUCCUGCAAACUAAACAAACUCCCUCAAACAAGAACCACCACUCUAGUUCAACAGAAUUUCUGACCACCGAUGCAACGCCGAUUAACGAACCAAGUUACCCUAGGGAUAACAGCGCAAUCCCCUUUCAGAGCCCAUAUCGAAAAGGGGGCUUACGACCUCGAUGUUGGAUCAGGACAUCCUAAUGGUGCAACCGCUAUUAAGGGUUCGUUUGUUCAACGAUUAAAGUCCUACGUGAUCUGAGUUCAGACCGG